rnacentral:rRNA from 1 species
GAUGAACGCUGGCGGCGUGCCUAAUACAUGCAAGUCGAGCGAACGGACGAGAAGCUUGCUUCUCUGAUGUUAGCGGCGGACGGGUGAGUAACACGUGGAUAACCUACCUAUAAGACUGGGAUAACUUCGGGAAACCGGAGCUAAUACCGGAUAAUAUUAUGAACCGCAUGGUUCAAAAGUGAAAGACGGUCUUGCUGUCACUUAUAGAUGGAUCCGCGCUGCAUUAGCUAGUUGGUAAGGUAACGGCUUACCAAGGCAAUGAUGCAUAGCCGACCUGAGAGGGUGAUCGGCCACACUGGAACUGAGACACGGUCCAGACUCCUACGGGAGGCAGCAGUAGGGAAUCUUCCGCAAUGGGCGAAAGCCUGACGGAGCAACGCCGCGUGAGUGAUGAAGGUCUUCGGAUCGUAAAACUCUGUUAUUAGGGAAGAACAUAUGUGUAAGUAACUGUGCACAUCUUGACGGUACCUAAUCAGAAAGCCACGGCUAACUACGUG